rnacentral:rRNA from 1 species
UACGUAGGGGUCGAGCGUUGUUCGGAAUUACUGGGCGUAAAGCGCGUGUAGGCGGCCCUGCAAGUCGGAUGUGAAAUCCCACGGCUCAACCGUGGAAGUGCAUUCGAAACUGCAGGGCUAGAGUCCUGGAGAGGAAGGUGGAAUGCUUGGUGUAGAGGUGAAAUUCGUAGAUAUCAAGCGGAACACCGGUGGCGAAGGCGGCCUUCUGGACAGUGACUGACGCUGAGACGCGAAAGCGUGGGGAGCAAACAGG